rnacentral:lncRNA from 10 species
UGCAGAUUGAAUUCCUACAUAGGCUAUUCCAGAAUUCUUACGAGACUUGCAUUAGGACAUCAGCAACAGGUAUCAUCUAGUGAACUGUUCAGAUGCAACUGAAUUGAAAAGGAGCUGAACAAAAGAUCCUGAGAGAGGUCUGAUGAGACUGCUUUGACUUCAACAAAAAGUAAAAUGGAUUUUAUCAUACUUGAAAAAUCAACAAUUGCAGUCUGGAUUCAUACAUCACUGUCUGAUGCACCCAACUUGAGUCAAAAAGAUGUUUCAAAUCCCACUAGGCUGGAGGCAAAAAUACUCAAGAGUUUAAGAGCGUCUCUUGACAGUGUACAGAAUAAGAUAGCUUCUCAGCUUUCAGCUUUACUUCACGGUUUUAACUAUCAAAAGAAGCAAGCCAUCUGAAGAUUUGCCUGAGACUGAAGGAUCCACUUCUGCGACGACUCCCUCAGGACUUAUAAUGCAGAUGGAACCAGAUUGAGAAAAACCAGCCAACCAACCAACCAACAUGAUGGCUGAACCAGACAAGAGAAGUCCCGAAGUAAAAUACCCACCAAUUACCAGAAUCUGUGCCUGCCAUACAUCGAAGGUAUUGUAUCCAUGAUGGCAUGCUGCUUUUUGUGGUGUUUUGAUUGAUGUCACAAUUUCCCAGCAGUCCUUCCACAGCCAUUCUGAGAUAGCAUCCAGAAAUCAAUGAAACAUCAGAAUAGGAAGUAUUUGUGUAUGUAGACUAAUGUGGCACAUUCCAUCUUGGAAGAUGUAAUCCUUAAAGGAAGGAAGAAAGAAUCUUG